UACGGAGGAUCCGAGCGUUAUCCGGAUUUAUUGGGUUUAAAGGGUGCGCAGGCGGGAGAUUAAGUCGGCGGUGAAAUUUUGCAGCUUAACUGUAAAAUUGCCGUUGAUACUGGUAUUCUUGAGUGUAUAUGAAGUAGGCGGAAUUUGUAGUGUAGCGGUGAAAUGCAUAGAUAUCACGAGGAACUCCGAUUGCGCAGGCAGCUUACUAAACUACUACUGACGCUCAGGCACGAAGGCGUGGGGAUCAAACAGGAUUAGAUACCCU
rnacentral:rRNA from 1 species